GACGAACGCUGGCGGCGUGCUUAACACAUGCAAGUCGAACGAUGAAGAAAAGAAUCGAAGCUUCGGCAGAAAUUCAUUUCGGAUUAGUGGCAGACGGGUGAGUAACGCGUGAGCAACCUACCUCUUACAAAGGGAUAGCCUCGGGAAACCGGGAUUAAUACCAUAUAACAUUGUGACGAAGCAUUUCGAUGCAAUCAAAGCUACGGCGGUAAGAGAUGGGCUCGCGUCCCAUUAACCGGAUGGUGAGGUAACGGCUCACCAUAGUGACGAUGGGUAACCGGCCUGAGAGGGUGAACGGUCACACUGGAACUAAGACACGGUCCAGACUCCUACGGGAGGCAGCAGUGGGGAAUAUUGCACAAUGGAGGGAACUCUGAUGCAGCGACGCCGCGUGAGUGAUGAAGGAAUUCGUUUCGUAAAACUCUGUUCUAUGGGAAGAAAAGGACUGUACCAUAGGAGAAAGCUCCGGCUAAAUACGUG
rnacentral:rRNA from 1 species